rnacentral:rRNA from 1 species
UAUUGUCCUCAGAAGUGCGAAUGCUGACAUGAGUAGCGAUAAAGGGAGUGAAAAGCUCCCUCACCGAAAGCCCAAGGUUUCCUGCGCAACGUUCAUCGGCGCAGGGUGAGUCGGCUCCUAAGGCGAGGCCGAAAGGCGUAGUCGAUGGGAAACAGGUUAAUAUUCCUGUACCAGUUUUAGAUGCGAUGGGGGGACGGAGAAGGUUAACUCAGCCAACUGUUGGAAUAGUUGGUUUAAGCGUGUAGGCGUGCUGUCAAGGCAAAUCCGGACGGCUUAGCUGAGGCGUGAUGACGAGGUGCCAUUGGCACUGAAGUGAGCGAUACCAUGCUUCCAGGAAAAGCCUCUAAGCUUCAGUCUAGAACUGACCGUACCGCAAACCGACACAGGUGGGCAGGAUGAAAAUUCUAAGGUGCUUGAGAGAACUCAGGAGAAGGAACUCGGCAAAUUGACACCGUAACUUCGGGAGAAGGUGUGCCUUUAGUAUGUGAAGCCCCUGCGGGUGGAGCAGAACGAGGUUGCAAAAAAUAGGUGGCUGCGACUGUUUAAUAAAAACACAGCACUCUGCAAACACGAAAGUGGACGUAUAGGGUGUGACGCCUGCCCGGUGCCGGAAGGUUAAUUGAUGGGGUGCAAGCUCUUGAUCGAAGCCCCGGUAAACGGCGGCCGUAACUAUAACGGUCCUAAGGUAGCGAAAUUCCUUGUCGGGUAAGUUCCGACCUGCACGAAUGGCGUAACGAUGGCCACACUGUCUCCUCCUGAGACUCAGCGAAGUUGAAAUGUUUGUGAAGAUGCAAUCUACCCGCGGCUAGACGGAAAGACCCCAUGAACCUUUACUGUAGCUUUACAUUGGACUUUGACGGGACUUGUGUAGGAUAGGUGGGAGGCUGUGAGACGUGGUCGCUAGAUCACGAGGAGCCAACCUUGAAAUACCACCCUGGUGUCGUUGAGGUUCUAACCUUGGACCAUGAAUCUGGUUCGGGGACCGUGUAUGGCAGGCAGUUUGACUGGGGCGGUCUCCUCCCAAAGGGUAACGGAGGAGUUCGAAGGUCUCCUAGGUACGGUCGGACAUCGUACUGAUAGUGCAAUGGCAAAAGGAGGCUUGACUGCGAGACAGACAAGUCGAGCAGGUGCGAAAGCAGGACAUAGUGAUCCGGUGGUUCUGUAUGGAAGGGCCAUCGCUCAACGGAUAAAAGGUACUCUGGGGAUAACAGGCUGAUUCCGCCCAAGAGUUCAUAUCGACGGCGGAGUUUGGCACCUCGAUGCCGGCUCAUCACAUCCUGGGGCUGUAGCCGGUCCCAAGGGUAUGGCUGUUCGCCAUUUAAAGUGGUACGUGAGCUGGGUUUAAAACGUCGUGAGACAGUUUGGUCCCUAUCUGCCGUGGGCGCUGGAUAUUUGAGGGGACCUGCUCCUAGUACGAGAGGACCGGAGUGGACGUAUCCCUGGUGUACCGGUUGUCACGCCAGUGGCAUCGCCGGGUAGCUAAAUACGGAAGAGAUAACCGCUGAAAGCAUCUAAGCGGGAAACUCGCCUCAAGAUGAGAUAUCCCGGGGGUUCAACCCCCCUAAAGGGUCGUCAUAGACCAUGACGUUGAUAGGUCAGGUGUGGAAGCG